rnacentral:misc_RNA from 1 species
UCUCCGUAGGUGAACCUGCGGAGGGAUCAUUAACGAGUUCCCCGUACCGGGUAGAAUUCCCACCCUAUGUUAUCACUAUCUCUGUUGCUUUGGCGGGCCGCCCGGCCUCGGUCAGGCUACCGGCUCCGGCUGGUAAGCGCCCGCCAGAGGACCCCAAACUCUGAAUAUUAGUGUCGUCUGAGUACUAUAUAAUAGUUAAAACUCUCAACAACGGAUCUCUUGGUUCUG